rnacentral:rRNA from 1 species
CUUCCUAUUAGCUAGUUGGUGAGGUAAUGGCUCACCAAGGCUACGAAGGGUAGGGGCUCUUAGUGGAAGGUCCCCCACUCUGGCACUGAGAUCCGGCCCAGACUCCUACGGGAGGCAGCAGUAGGGAAUAUUGGUCAAUGGGUGCAAGCCUGAACCAACCAUGCCGCGUGCAGGAUGAAGGCUCUCUGAGUUGUAAACUGCUUUUGUACAGGAGCAAAAAAAUCCCUGCGGGGGUUCUUGAGAGUACUGUAAGAAUAAGCACCGGCUAAUUCCGUGCCAGCAGCCGCGGUAAUACGGGAGGUGCAAGCGUUAUCCGGUUUUAUUGGGUUUAAAGGGUGCGUAGGCGGCUUAUUAAGUCAGUUGUGAAAUCCUAGUGCUUAACGCUAGAACUGCGAUUGAUACUAUU